rnacentral:misc_RNA from 1 species
AAGUCGUAACAAGGUUUCCGUAGGUGAACCUGCGGAAGGAUCAUUACUGAAGCAUUUGCAAUGGUUUGUUGCUGCCUCGCAAGAGGACCCUUCAAAGUGCACGCCAUUCAAUCUUCUACUUUACCACCUGUGCACCUUUCAUAGAUUGUUGAAUAACACCUCAUCGUAACAGAUGGAUCUGAGAGCCUUAACCCGCUUUCAAUUCUAUUCACAAUUUAUGUUUUUCAUACACACCUUUUGAACUUUUGAAUGCGUUGAUUAUGGUUUCAUCCAUAUAAAUGUGAAAUACAACUUUCAGCAACGGAUCUCUUGGCUCUC